rnacentral:rRNA from 1 species
UUUUUAAGAAAUGAAUUUAAUUCAGGCGUUUUAUUUAAUUUUUGUUUUUUUAUUAUUCAUUUUUAUUUUGCGCUAAGAUUAAGGGGGAUUAGCUCUUUAUUUUAUUAUUAUAAUUUUUUAUAUGAUUUAGUUUUGUGGAUUUUAUAGUGAUUUUCAAUUUGAUUAUGUUAAAAUUUUAUUUGGUUUUUUGUUUAUUUCUUUUGUAUUUAAAUUUUUAUUGAAAUGUAUGUUUUAUCUUUAUUUUGUAUAGUAAUUAUUGUGUAAUUAGUAAAUUUUGUUUGUUGUGUUUAUUAUUUGUUGUUAAUUUCUUCUAAGGAAUUAGGCAAACUUUUACGUCCGCCUGUUUAACAAAAACAUCUUUUCUUGUUAGUUUUUGAAGUAUGGCCUGCCCACUGACGUUUGUUGAAGGGCCGCGGUAUUUUGACCGUGCAAAGGUAGCAUAAUCAUUAGUUCUUUAAUUGUGAUCUGGUAUGAAUGGCUUGACGAGACGUAAGCUGUCUUAGAGGAAUUAUAUUGUUGAAUUUGGUUUUUGAGUUAAAAUUCUUAAAUGUAUUUAUGGGACGAGAAGACCCUAUAGAGUUUGACAUUUAUUUUGCUGCUUUUAAUUUCGUUUGUGUUUUGGUUCAUGUGGUGAUUAAAUGUUUUGUUGGGGUGAUGAGAGGAAUAUUUUAAACUCCUCUUUAUUUUUAUAUAUUUAUUUAUAUGUGUUGAUCC